rnacentral:tRNA from 1 species
GCCGGUUUAGCUCAGCUGGUAGAGCAGUUGAUUUGUAAUCAUCAGGUCGGGGAUUCGAGUUCCUCAACCGGCACCA